GAUGAACGCUGGCGGCGUGCCUAAUACAUGCAAGUCGAGCGAACAGACGAGGAGCUUGCUCCUCUGACGUUAGCGGCGGACGGGUGAGUAACACGUGGAUAACCUACCUAUAAGACUGGGAUAACUUCGGGAAACCGGAGCUAAUACCGGAUAAUAUAUUGAACCGCAUGGUUCAAUAGUGAAAGACGGUUUUGCUGUCACGUAUAGAUGGAUCCGCGCCGCAUUAGCUAGUUGGUAAGGUAACGGCUUACCAAGGCAACGAUGCGUAGCCGACCUGAGAGGGUGAUCGGCCACACUGGAACUGAGACACGGUCCAGACUCCUACGGGAGGCAGCAGUAGGGAAUAUUCCGCAAUGGGCGAAAGCCUGACGGAGCAACGCCGCGUGAGUGAUGAAGGUCUUCGGAUCGUAAAACUCUGUUAUUAGGGAAGAACAAAUGUGUAAGUAACUAUGCACGUCUUGACGGUACCUAAUCAGAAAGCCACGGCUAACUACGUG
rnacentral:rRNA from 1 species